GAUCCAGAGAAGACAACUGUUACCGAAACACCUCCGCAUGCAAGGGUUUUGCAGGACAUUUCGCAAUGAUGCUUGACAACUGUGCCAGAAUGCCAAGCGAAGCGGAAAAGCAUGUGUUGCAAAGAAAAAGAUUACAUGGUGUAUCGAAGCCCCAACACCAGCUGACAGGUCCGAGUUGUCAUCCCGUUGCGUAUUGUUCUCCGGAUAUACUAGGAGUUUCCUGAUCAAGCUGGUCAUCAUGUUGGUAAUCAGGCGAGUCAUCACGUU